rnacentral:rRNA from 1 species
AUUGAACGCUGGCGGGAGGCUUAACACAUGCAAGUCGAGCGAGCGGCGGACGGGUGAGUAAUGUCUGGGACCGUGCCUGAUAGAGGGGGAUAACUACUAGAAACAGUGGCUACUACCGCAUACCAUCGGAGAGGCCGAGAUGGGAUUAGCUAGUGGGUGGGGUAAUGGCUCACCAAGGCGACGAUCCUUAGCUGGUCUGAGAGGAUGACCAGCCACACGGGAACUGAGACACGGUCCAGACUCCUACGGGAGGCAGCAGUGGGGAAUAUUGGACAAUGGGCGAAAGUCUGAUGAAGCAAUGCCGCGUGUGUGAAGAAGGUCUUCGGGUUGUAAAACACUGUUGUUGGGGAGGCGUUAUCUGACGAGGAAGCCCCGGCUAACUACGUGCCAGCAGCCGCGGUAAUAC